AAUUUUAAAAAAAAAAACAUAAGUCUUAAAAAACAAGAACAUUUGAUCUUGCAGAGGACCCCAGGCUCAGUUUCCAGCACUCACGUGGCAGCCAACAACCAUCUGUGCUUCUCUGACCCCCACGAUCUCCUGCAUGCACACAAAUACGCAUAAAUUAGUUAUUAGAGAGAACAUCCUGAUUCCUGAUGAAUCAUUUCUACUGUUGAAGUCAACGGACGAACCCACCCACGAAGAUGUGUUGUGAUAGUCAGGGUUUUGAGCCAUUUCCCUGAGAGAAAAAAAGACAUCUUGCAGGAGUCAGCAAACUUUCUUAAAGGGACAGAUACCCCACGUUCUAGGUUUAUAGGUUACGUGGUCUCAUCACAACUACAUCACAAAGACAGUUGGGGCUAUAGCUCAGGGGUCGAGUUUGCCUCGUUUGCACAAAGCCCUGGGUUCCAUCCCCAUCACUAAGUAAACUGGGUGUGGCGAGGCACCUUCAGCUCCAGUGUGUGGCUCUGCUCCAACUAAGAAAGACAAACUGCCAGCCAGGCAGAGUGGGUGACUUCACAGACCAAGGAGAUGUUAGAUGUUGAGAAUUAGAUUGACAGGUUACUGUCUGAAAAAAAUAAUUUGGGACUGAGAAAUGAAUCAGAGGUCAAGAGCCUAAGUGCUCUUGCAGAGGACCCAGGUUUGGUUCCCAACACCUACAUUGUGUGGCUCACAACCACCUGCAACUCCAGCCUUCGUAGGUACUACAGACAUGCCCAAACCCACACAUACACACUUAAAAAUCUUUAAAAAUUAAUUUGAACAGCACACUGAAGAUCACCCCUAUGAAUCACAGGCCUGUCUGCCUCACUUUUGUGGGUGACAGGCAAAGUCCUACACUGAGGGGACACACGUGGGUUUUGUUGCAGGUGAGGAGCACUAAGCUGAGCCCCCUGCCGUUUCAUAGCAAGCCUGCUCUUGGCCCCAGAGAAGACAUUACCUCACCCAUUGAAGUUGUUCACUUGCCAACAGUCCUGAGAAACGGCCCGCAUAAACAGCGUUCAGGGGCUUGCAACUGGGGUGCCUUAGUUGACUCUUGCCCAACAACUCCCUGCUGGGUAAUAGCAGGUGGUCACUGAAUUGUAUGCAUUUUCUGCCUGACCACAGAGUCUAGAAGCCAGCAGCCAUCCACAAAUGCUGUGAUGUGGUCAGGAGAGCUGUUUUUUAAUCAACCCUGUGUUUAAGGUGAAGGGUGUGUAUAGGGGUGGAAAUGGGGAGAUGUUUCUUCAGGUCACCGCUGCACAGCGUGUCUCUUCGUGUGACGCCUAGAACCCUCCUGAGACAUGCCAUCUCCCACACAUUCACCUCCAUCCACAGAAGGAAGUCAACGACAGGAUACGGCAACAGCUUGAGAUACCGCAGCCAUGUAAUGAGAAUGAAUGGCAGCAAAUACCUGAAGACCGCACUGCUCGGAGGAGUGCACGGGAGAAGGCAGAGAGGACAGGCAGCAUGGGGAAGACUGUGGAACCUUGGGUGUGACAAUAACACAAGCAUCUCAGACUGCCCAGGACAGGAAUGACUGAGAACCGUCAUAAUCAGGAUGCACAUGCAGGCUUAAGCAUGGGCGGGCAUAAAUGAUGAUGAUGAUGAUGACGAUGAUGAUGGUGAUGAUGAUGGUGGUGGUGGUGAUGAUGAUGGGUGGGAUGGGUUGGGGCCGUGCUGAAUGGUUUUUGACCUGACACAAGCUAGAGUCAUUUGGGAAGAGGGAACCCCAACUGAGAAAAUUCCCCCACCACACUGAACUGUGGGUAAGCCUGUGCUACAUUCCUGACUGCUAAUGGGUGUGUGAGAGUCCGUUCACCCGGGGCGGUACCAACACCGUACAGAUAUUCCUGGGUGUAUAAAAGAGCCAGUGGUGUCAACCCUAGGCGGGUGGUCCUGAAGGGCUAAGAAAGCAGGCUGAGCAAGCCAGGAGGAGCAAGCCAGUGAGCAGCACCCUCCAUGGCCUCUGCAUCAGCUCCUGCCUCCAGGUUCCUGCCUUGAGUUGUUGCCCUGACUUCCUGGGAUGAUGGGCUACAAGCUGUAAGAUGAAAUAAACCCUACCCUCCCCAA